UUGACUAGAGCACCUGCCAUGCAUUAAUGUGGAUGGGAUCAUAGCCGGCCGGCGGUAGAAAACAGUGGCCAAAAGUAGUAGAUAGACCACAUGCAGUCAGCAGAACCCAUCAGAUCAGGGGGCCGUGUCAGAUAGUAGUGGGUGGCACGGUAAUCCGGGCAAAGAGAGUAUAACUUAGCAAGGAGGUCUACACAAACAGGUACGUUAACAUUCACAUCGAUAACAACAUACACACGACUAAGAAUUAUGAUCUCUCCCAAUACACUAAGCAUUUCAUCCUCCAUUGUUAACCUUGUGAACACGUAUACUGUCUCUCAAUCCUGAG
rnacentral:lncRNA from 1 species